rfam:Salmo salar isolate Sally breed double haploid chromosome ssa19, whole genome shotgun sequence.
AUCCCUGUGGCUCAGUUGGUAGAGCAUGGUGUUUUCAACGCCAGCAUGGUGUGUGCAAUGCCAGGGUUGUGGGUUCGAUUCCCACGGGGGGCC